ensembl:lncRNA
AGUUUCUCAUCGUCCGAGACUCCCAGCCUGUUUGUGCAUUUUUUCCGGGAGUCUAGGCUCCGAGGCCAACUUCGCUCCCGGGUUAAGACGGCCCUGGGCACGGAGGACGGGUGGAUGCGUGGGAGAUGGUAUCCAGCUGGGGACCCUGCCCCUCUGAACCGGGAGUUCCGGGCUGCCCCCGGGGACAUCCCAGGCCGAGGCGAGGCGGGAGACCAGGGAGAAGACCCGGGCCAGCGAUCCCUUUUCAGAUGGCUUCUCAACGAGCGCCUCGGAGCCGCUGUCCUGGAGCCGCCGGGGUUAGGGGAAUGACAUUUGGGUGAGAAGGGGCGGCUCCAGAUCCGAAGGGUACCCCACUCCCUCACCCCUGGCCAGGGUCCCUUUAUCUGCGGAGUCUAGACGGAUGCACAGGCGGAAGCCACCACCCCGGCUCAGACUCCGCUGCUGCUUGCCAAACACAGAGAGCCGACCCGCAGCGAUGGCCCGGGUCCCAUCCCCGAACCGUCCCCUCAACCCCGGUCCCCCCCGGCCAGAGCCUGGCCUACCCCCCCACUCCGCCCCGUCGGUCCCAGCGCAGAGGGUGAAGCCCCGCCGCCGGGAGCCUCAGGCCUCCUACAGGAAGACGCAUCGUGGGACCGUGGGCCAAAUCCUCAUGGAAAAAGCUUUUAGGAUGGGGGAGAUGUGGCGUGAGGGUUGGGGCCGUCGGGGGACGUCGCAUCUUGGACAGAAACCACCUCAGGUCCAUGGGCGGACGCGGAGCCCACGGGUGAAACAGCGCUUCUUUCUGUCUCCUCACCCUCCUUUCCUUCUUUAAUUUCCACCGCUCUGGACAGCGUGCCUACCCGGUGCCAGCUCCUGAGAGGCCCUCGGGGCACCAAGGUGAACAAAACCGGGCGGCCGCUGGAGCUGGGGACAAACUAGAAGAUUCCAGGCCUGGGCGGGCAGGCUGAGGGCCACAGUGGGGAACGCGGUCAAAGACACCACCGGGGAUGGUUGGCGGGGGCCUGAGUGAGGUUCCAACUGCCUAGGCCUCUGCAUCUUGAGGCCCUGGCGUUCUGUGCGACCUGCCCGUGGUGAUCCCCGUGGCCUCCAGUGUCCUCCGGGCUGACUGGGAACCUGGCAUCCCCGAGGUCGGGAGGACGGGGUGGGGCUGCGGACAGGAGAGAUGGACGCCCGAGCGAGCCUUGAACCGAAAGUGAACCCCGGGAGCACCGACCUCCUGUAGUCCGGGGCUUUCUCUCUGAAGCCAAAAAUACCCCGGGUCAUAGUUUGCUUUUUCUUUUCUAAGUAGCCAUAUUUACAUAAAUCCCCACUGGAAAUUUCCACCUUUCAAGACUGACCGCUGUUUUUGGUGUUUCCAGAGGCUAAAUGAAGUCAGGGGAUUUUUACAAGUUGAAGUGACCCUCCCCCUCUGCCCAGGCAGAGAGAUGAGUUUGCUAACCCUCCCCUCCUCUAACCCCAGGCCAGCUGUGCCUAUCAAAGUACCCAGAGGGCUGGGCUGGGGGUCCCCAGGGAUGGGGCUGUGGUCCUGGAGUGGGGAAGUGGACCCCCAGGAGUGGGCAACCCCUCAGCCCUCAUCCCUGGGUAUUUCACCACCAAAGUUAAGCUCUAUCUUCAGAGUUCCCCACUUCCUCCUUUCCUUCCUUGGAAAUUCGGUUGCAAAUAUCACUACAUGGUGUAACCUUUAAAGGUAAACUUCUGAAAUGGCCAGCUCCAAAUAAAAACUAGCCUUUUGUGAGGGAUCCAACUCCAAACCAAACUGGUUUUCCCUUUUAGAAAUGCUCCCCUUUUACCACAAAGACAAGAGAUGCUCAGUGUUGUGAGAGAACACACAAUUAGGCCUUGGGGAUUUUUAAGUCAACAUUAUAUGUACAAAAUCUACCCAAAAAGGAGAAAGCAGCUUAUCAAAACUGCCAACGGACUCAGAACUCUUAAUAGGUAACAUUUUACAGAACUGUAUUUGAUCCAAGAUAGUUAAGUUUCAAUGGAAUAGCUGAAUUCUGUUCUUUUGAUUGAUGAUGUUUAAGUUUUUAAAUAUUAAUAUUCCUUCUUUCUCUUGAGCUUUUUAUUUUGUAUUGGGGUAUAGCCAAUUGACAAUGUUGUGAUAGUUAAGUUUUAUAUAUGUAUGGCAAUUAAACAGCUGGUUGAUUCAGUUGAAUAAUUUGUCCUUGGGCUAUUUAAAAAAAAAUUCACUAUUUUAGUUAUAUUUCUCAAAGAGGCCACCUAACUGUAAUAGCUAUAACAGGAAGGUCUUAAAAAAUUACAAGCAGUGUAUUUAAAGACUGAAAACUGAAUGCACCUGUAAUGGCACACUCCCCACAAAAUUUGUUUAGAAAGCAAAGUGAGAUGACCUAACGGUGGAGCCAUGCAUGAACCCUCCCCAUGCAUGCGUGUGUGCUAAGUCACUUCAGACUCUUUGCAACCCCACGGACUGCAGCCUGCCAGGCUCCUCUGACCAUGGGGAUUCUUCAGGCAAGAAAUACUGAAGUGGGUUGCCAUGCCCUCCUCCAAGGGAUAUUCCCAACCCAAGGAUCAAACCCACGUCUCUUAUGUCUCCUGCAUUGGCAGGUGAGUUCAUUGCUCAUCAAAUAACCAAGGUCCCAACCUCUAGAAUAGAACGAAUGGCAGAAUGAUUUUAAGCAUUUCAUAUGUCUGAAUUUUAGCACGUAGUAACUGUUGACUUUCAUUAUUAUGAAAGUUAGAGUAUCCAUUUGCUGUAUGACAUAAACUCCUCUGCGGCAACAGGUGCUCCAAAUGUGUUGCCCUGUUUGCCAAGAGAACUACCCACGUGAGCUGAAAGAGAAAUGCUUUUCGUUUUUUCUUUUGGAAGGCAGUGCACCUUGGGAUACAGUGCAGACUGUGCUAUCUGACAAACUGACUUCUGAUGACAUCCCCACUGUUGAGUUGCAAUCAUAAUAGUUCUAGAUCUUGACUGAGUUACACCUGUAUUUGACCAACUCCUAGUCUUGAUACUUAGGAUAUUCCCAAAAAUUUCCUACUGUAUCUGUAAAGAAAAAAAAAAUGUUGCUGGCCAUUCCAGUUCUACAAGGAUCAAGUCAUAAGGCAUUGCAGUCACCCACUGACAGGGGAAUCCAGAAUGGAAAGGGAAAAAAAGGAAAUAUUUUGUGCUUUGGCUGUCUGCCCCUAGAUGGUUAAGAUAAACAUCUAAGGGAAGAUUUCCAUGAUCCUAGAUUCUUGCAUUUUUCCAUAAAGAGAAAAGCACUAAACUCGUUAAUUUGAGAUGUCUGUUCUUUGUGAUUCACAGUGAUCUUUUGAUGUUCAGUUCCAUGGUUUUUUCCCAGCAAAUUAUACAUAUAGGUCCCUCAGACAGUAAAGAAUCUGCCUUCAAUGCAGGAGACUCAAGUUUGAUCCCCGGGUCAGGAAAAGCCUCUGGAGGAGUGACUACCUACUCCAGUAUUGCCUGGAGAAUUCCGUGGACAGAGGAGCCUGGCAGGCUACAGUCUAUGGGUUCACAAAGAGUCAGACAUAACUGAGCGACCAACACUUUCACUUUCCUGUUCCACUCCGUACCUCUUUCAAAGCAGUUCCUCGGAGUUAUCUGAGAGGCUCUUUCCCAGACUAUAUCCUCAGUAAGGUCUCGAUAAAACUUAAUUCCCAGAUUUUACAUUCUGUGCUUUUAUUUCAGCACCUGAAACAAGACGCAAGGAGGGUGGGCACAACCUUUGGAAGAUACAGCCAUGAGGACACACCAGAAACUGGCUAGAACCAACCCCAUAGACAGCAGCCCACCAGGCUCCUCGUCCCUGGGAUUCUCCAGGCAAGAACAUUGGAGUGGGCUGCCAUCUCCUCCAAUGCAUGAAAGUGAAAAGUGAAAGUGAAGUCGCUCAGUUGUGUCCGACUCCCAGCGACCCCAUGGACUGCAGCCUACCAGGCCCCUCCGUCCAUGGGAUUUUCCAGGCAAGAGUACUGCAGUGGGUUGCCAUUGCCUUUCUAAAUAAAUCCAAUUCGUACCUAUCACUUUGUCUCUCACUGAAUUAUUUCU